UACGUAGGGAGCGAGCGUUAUCCGGAAUUAUUGGGCGUAAAGGGUGCGUAGAUGGUUGAUAUAAGUCUUUUGUAAAAAUGCUAGGCUCAACCUAGUAGGGCAAAAGAUACUGAUGAACUAGAGUACGGCAGAGGCAAGUGGAACUACAUGUGUAGCGGUAAAAUGCGUAAAUAUAUGUAAGAACACCGGUGGCGAAGGCAGCAUGCCGGCUCCACACUGACGCUGAGGCACGAAAGCGUGGGUAUCGAACAGG
rnacentral:rRNA from 1 species